AUUGAACGCUGGCGGCAGGCCUAACACAUGCAAGUCGAGCGGAGCGGCGGAAGGGUGAGUAAUGACUAGGAAUCUGCCCGGUAGUGGGGGAAAACGUCAGGAAAGGGGCGCUAAUAACGCCAACGUGAAGAGGAGCCUAGGUUGGAUUAGAUAGUUGGGGGGGUAAAGGCCUACCAAGGCGACGAUCCGUAACUGGGCUGAGGGGAUGCUCACCCACACGGGAACUGAGACACGGUCCAGACUCCUACGGGAGGCAGCAGUGGGGAAUAUUGGACAAUGGGCGAAAGCCUGAUCCAGCCAUGCCGCGUGUGUGAAGAAGGUCUUCGGAUUGUAAAGCACUUUAAGUUGUGAUGCGGUACCAACAGAAUAAGCACCGGCUAACUACGUGCCAGCAGCCGCGGUAAUUC
rnacentral:rRNA from 1 species